CCGACCUUAGUUCAGUUGGUAGAGCAGAGGACUGUAGUCGAAGAAGAAUAUCCUUAGGUCACUGGUUCGAAUCCGGUAGGUCGAA
rfam:Arabis alpina cultivar Pajares Aa.chr6_contig_1332, whole genome shotgun sequence.